GAGGAGCGUCUCUGCCCGGCCGCCCAUCGUCUGAGAUGUGGGGAGCUCCUCUGCCCCGCCGCCCUGUCUGGGAUGUGAGGAGCGCCUCUGCCCGGCCGCGACCCCGUCUGGGAACUGAUGAGUGUCUCUGCCCGAUCGCCACCCCAUCUGGGAGAGGAAAGGCCAUGUAAGGACAGAGCAAACAGGCAACUGUCUGCAAACCAGGAAGAGAGGCCUCACCAGAUAUCAACCUUCAUGGCACCUUGAUCUUGAUCUUUCCAGACUGUGAGAAAAUUAACUUCUGUUGUUGUUUAAGCUGCCCUCCAACUCCGUCUGUAGUAUUUUGUUACGGCAGCCCAAACAGACUAAUACAUCAAGUAACCACACAAAUGCAUGUACAAUUAAAACUGACCUAACUGUUAAGAAGAGGAGAUAGGGCAAGAGUAUAUUUAUCGAGGGUAUUCUAUCUGGUCAGAGAUGAGAGAGAAAGAUUUUUCUGGGUAAAGUUAACAAGGUAUAUAGGGUGGGGUGAAUAUGGAGUGGGGAAUGGUCCCAGAUAGGGCCAAUUGCUUGUGCAAAGGCCCUGGGGUGAGACAGAGCACAGUUUAUUAGAGAAACCAAGUGGCAGCUGUGUGAUUGGGGUGCUAAGAGUGAAGAGGAAGGUGAUACAGGUGAGGGUGGAGAAGAGGGUGAGGCCUAACUUCCCAGGACCAUGCAGGAUUUUCACUGCUAACUUGGGCCACUUGCACACCAGACUGGAGCUGGAAAUGGUGGGUAUGGGAGACAGAGAUCAAAAUAACCUCUAGAUGUCCACUUGCAUAGCUGGUAGGUCACGGGACCAUUCAUGAUAGGGAAGCCCAGGAGAGAACCAGAUUUCAAAGAGAAAGUCAUGAAUUUGCACGUGUCAAGCUUGUUGUGCUUUUGAGUCACUUAGAAAGAGACAUUUGUUUGCGGACCUAUCUACAAGUCUAGACUCAGACAGAGACCUGAGUCAUGUCAUUACACUGACAAGGUGGGAGAGGUGAUUCGGGACAGUCAUUCUCAGACUUUGAGUUUCAAGACCCCUUUACACUCUUAAAAACCAUCAAGGACCUCAAAGAGCUUCUGUUUAUGUGGGUUAUAUCUGUCCAUAUUUACUGUAUUAGAAAUGUAAACUGAAAUAUUAAUAUUAAUUUAUAAUAAACCUGUUUUACCUUAACAUAAAAAAAAGAAAUAAAACAUGCAAAAAUAUUUUACUACA